rnacentral:sRNA from 1 species
AGAAAAGUAACCGCCGCCCCGCGCAGGGGCGACACUGGUAGACCGUUAGCGCAACAGGUUCAACGACGAGGCGCGGAUCACUGACAAAAAGACCACGCCCGCGCGAGCCACUC